ACGAGCCAAGAAGCAGCUGGCGGACUUUGGCAGGUGCAGUCAGAGACAGACAGGACUGCAUUCUGGGUUUCCCAGCUGGAGCAAUGCCAGGGAGUGGCUGGCCCUUGUGCAGCCAUGGGAGUGGGUGGCGGAGUUGAGACGGAAGGGAAGUCACUGUAACCGGAAGACCCUGCGCAGCUGAGUCAGCGGGUGAAGGCUGUCCUGGAGCGAACAGCAACCCUGAGACGUGGGAGUUAGGAUCUUCGGGGCAGGACGGUGUUCAGGAUGGGGAGCAGCUGCUGAGGAUGUUGCAUCCUAACCCUAACUUGUGGGCAUGCUGUGGGGACUGCUAGCCCUGAGAACUGUUCGAGCUGGGAAGAAAGUGAUGACAAGGCUCAGCAGAAGAAGAUGUGCUCUACAGAAUGAAGUGGUGUGGUGGAGAAGGGACAGGUGGUCAUAACUGUGAGACUCACACACUGCUUUUCAUCCUCAUCCAUGAGCUAAUCUGCCCUCACCACGAGUCUGUGAGCUCCGUCAUAUGCCACUGCCUCAGCCAGAAGAACACACCACCUUCGGAGAUGCUGUGGGCAUGGCCACCAGUCCUCCCUCUUCCCUUUCUUCAUCAUUACUGUCAUCCUCCUCAUCCCACCAUCAUCACCAUUGUCAUCUGCUUCAUCCUAAAGGUACUGCCGGGAAUAGGUAAAUGGCAUCGAACAACAGAACAAAGUGGGCUCCCUCUGGAAUGCGAAUGGGAAACUCAGUACAAUCAGCACAGCAGGUAAUAAAUUCAGGGAAUUGAACCCUUGGGAAACUAGAAGAAAUCGCAUUGACCACAGGCUGGGCAGAGAAGGCUGAGAAGCCCAAAUUGGAGCAACAAAUGCUUUGCCAUCUGAAGAGGGUGACACAGCCAUCUUGAAGAGGGGAGUGCUGUGCUCUCCCUUCGAGCUGCAUAUGAGGGUCUAGUCACAGAAGAAGAGCUGAGCCUGAAAACUCCACACCACCCUUCUAGUGAUGCUUUUUCCUGAUAGAGCCCACUUUAAAAAGAUGAUCGUUUUGGAAACAGUGAUCUUCUCCGUCUAGUUCAUUUGAAGCCUCUGCCCGAGCCGAGAGAUUUUGAUGCCAGAAACAAAUGCCAAAUGGCAGAAGGGAAUGGACCGCAGAGCUGCCUCUCGAGCGGUGUAGAUAUCUGAAGUGAAGCACUGUGGGUGCAGACUGGGACAGAGAAGAGGCCAGAGAUCGGUGACCUGACAAGGGCUUCCGUCUGCGCCCCGGUGGUGACACCUUGAUUUAGGACCUGGAGAAGGCAUCCUUUACACGAAAAACAGUAUCUCUGCUAGCUGCUGAGUGCGAAUGUACUCAGUGGUGAGAUGCUAUAGGCGUUCUUCCCAAAGUCAAGAU
rnacentral:lncRNA from 1 species